rnacentral:rRNA from 1 species
UACGUAGGGAGCAAGCGUUAUCCGGAUUUACUGGGUGUAAAGGGCGCGUAGGCGGGAAUGCAAGUCAGAUGUGAAAUCUGGGGGCUCAACCCUCAAACUGCAUUUGAAACUGUAUUUCUUGAGUGAUGGAGAGGCAAGUGGAAUUCCUAGUGUAGCGGUGAAAUGCGUAGAUAUUAGGAGGAACACCAGUGGCGAAGGCGACUUGCUGGACAUUAACUGACGCUGAGGCGCGAAAGCGUGGGGAGCAAACAGG